GGCCUCAUAGCUCAGUUGGCUACAGCGUUGGCUGUACUGCUGGCGUGGGUUCGAAUCCCACCGAGUCCG
rnacentral:tRNA from 1 species